rnacentral:rRNA from 1 species
GAUGAACGCUAGCGGCAGGCUUAACACAUGCAAGUCGAGGGGCAGCAUGGGACGGAGAUUCGUCGAAGUCCUGAUGGCGACCGGCGCAAGGGUGCGUAACGCGUGAGCAACUUGCCCGUUUCAGGGGGAUAACCGGUGGAAACGCCGACUAAUACCCCAUAGUAUUGAGUUUAGGCAUCUUUACUCAAUUAAAGAAUUUCGGAAACGGAUAGGCUCGCGUGACAUUAGCUAGAUGGCGGGGUAACGGCCCACCAUGGCGACGAUGUCUAGGGGUUCUGAGAGGAAGGUCCCCCACACUGGAACUGAGACACGGUCCAG